UUGACCAGUUCAAUAUGGCGCACCUAAUGACAAAUUGCAUCAACGGGAAACUGUGGUGUCUACACUCUAAAAAAUGCUGGGUUAUUUGUUUAACCCAACAGCUGGGUUGAGCCUGUUGGGUCAUUUUGUUGGGUUAUUUUCUCAGUGUUGGGUCAUUUUUUGAGUAACCCAAACGCUGGGUUAGCAGUCGGGUCCAAUUGAGUGACAGUUGAGAGAGUAAACCCCUCCCACUCCUCGACGCGUUAGACAAACUCUACCUUCGCGGGCAUUUUGAUCCACCUCAUCUCGAAAAGUUGUUAUUCGGAGAAGAAAAGGAUGCAGAAUAACAGCUAAUAUUAAUGGAUCAUUCUAUUCAAGAGAAAGUCAACUGGAACGUGGAUGUUUUCAUAACAGGCUUAAAGAUGAACAAAUUGAUAAAGAAACCCUCCUGCUGCCACUUCCAAAAGUGCACACCACACUGUUGUCUACAACUCCUAGGAAAAGAAUCCUCUUAAGUAAGACUGCUCCGUGGAUAUCUCACGUUAAGCAGUGCUGAAACCGAAAGAACUAACGCUCUUUAAAAUGUUUUGUGAGUUUAGGGUGUCCCUUUUUCACAUCCAUAACGCUUGUUUAUUUAUUUUUUUAUAGAAAACUUGUGCAUAGACUGAUAUUUUAUCAUAUAAAUGCGGUUCUAUCAACAAGGGUUUAGUAAAAUACUUUUCAUAGUGUUUUUAUGUCGCAUCCAUAACGCUGGAAUUGCCCUAAAGCAUUUUACUCGUGCCACUUUGUUAACUGUAUAUGAAUUUUUGAAGUGUUAAGUUGUCUAACUAUUUAUAUUUACUUGUGCCACUUUAAUAACCUUGUUAAAUGUAUAUGUUAAAAUCUAAACUAAUGUAAUUUAUUGAAGUUAAUUUUCCUUAAAUAUGUAUAAACAUACAUUUCAUCAAAGUGUUUUAUAUGCCAUUUUAUUGUUCAUUGAGCAUAACAUAUUGCAUGUUUUUAUGAAUUCCUUUUGUCUUGCAUUUUGAUCCUUAAUAAAACUUUUGAUUCUUACUGA